rnacentral:rRNA from 1 species
UGGACAUGGGCGAAGCCUGACCGCAAUGCCGCGUGAGUGAUGAAGGCCUUAGGGUUGUAAAGCUCUUUUACCCGGGAUGAUAAUGACAGUACCGGGAGAAUAAGCUCCGGCUAACUCCGUGCCAGCAGCCGCGGUAAUACGGAGGGAGCUAGCGUUGUUCGGAAUUACUGGGCGUAAAGCGCGCGUAGGCGGUUUUUUAAGUCAGAGGUGAAAGCCCAGUGCUCAACACUGGAACUGCCUUUGAAACUGGAAAACUUGAAUCUUGGAGAGGUCAGUGGAAUUCCGAGUGUAGAGGUGAAAUUCGUAGAUAUUCGGAAGAACACCAGUGGCGAAGGCGACUGACUGGACAAGUAUUGACGCUGAGGUGCGAAA